rnacentral:rRNA from 1 species
UCCCUGCUGUAAACGAUGCGAGCUAGGUGUUGGGGCGGCUACGAGCCGCUUCAGUGCCGCAGCGAAGGCGUUAAGCUCGCCGCCUGGGGAGUACGGCCGCAAGGCUGAAACUUAAAGGAAUUGGCGGGGGAGCACCACAAGGCGUGAAGCUUGCGGUUCAAUUGGAGUCAACGCCGGGAACCUUACCGGGGGCGACAGCAGGAUGAAGGCCAGGUUGAUGGUCUUGCUGGACGAGCUGAGAGGAGGCGCAUGGCCGUCGUCAGUUCGUGCCGUGAGGUGUCCUCUUAAGUGAGGUAACGA